rnacentral:rRNA from 1 species
UACGUAGGGUGCGAGCGUUAAUCGGAAUUACUGGGCGUAAAGCGUGCGCAGGCGGUUUUGUAAGCCAGAUGUGAAAUCCCCGGGCUUAACCUGGGAAUGGCAUUUGGGACUGCAAGGCUGGAGUGCGGCAGAGGAGACUGGAAUUCCCGGUGUAGCAGUGAAAUGCGUAGAGAUCGGGAGGAACAUCAGUUGCGAAGGCGGCUCUCUGGACCAGCACUGACACUGAGGCACGAAAGCGUGGGGAGCAAACAGG